GUCACGCCCUUGAUAGCUUCUCCAUCCGUGUGCCAGGCCGCGGAUGUGCAGAUGCAGAACACAGACUCACUUCUGGGAAGGAGGGGACGGCCGGCCUGCGGCUCCACGCAUAGAGAAGUGGUACAGUCCAGAGCCUGCACCAGGGUUCAGUCACAUCUGCCGAGCUGGUGAGGAAACUCUGUGGGCCCUGGGGAACCUCCCUCUUCUGAGGAGCUGCAAGAAGCCAAGCACGGUGUGCUCAAUAGGUGACAAAGCGUGUGUGACGGAGGAAGGAUAGCUUUGAGGACACUCUGAGGACAGUGGUUGGAAUCCAUUUUACCCCAUACCAGACCCAUACCUGCUUUCUGGCCAGAGAUGUCACUAAAGCCUAGAAGGGUUGUAUGCUAGCACUCCGCAAGACACGGGGCUGCAGCGUCACUGUGGUGUGUGACAGGAGAGAAAUCUGUCUUCUCCUCUGGUCAUUCCACAGGGAGACUUUGCCCCCAACAAGGUAGCAAAGCAGAAAAAGGAACAGUGCCUGGCACCCAAACAUGGAUUUGCUGGUGAUGCUGUACCCUGGGACUCCCCAAAAGUACAGGACGGAAGGCGCUUUCCUGGGAGCUCGAUUCUGUGUGAAACGAUGGUAACAAACUACAAUUUAGAUUAUUAGAGUGGCUUUGUUUAGUCCACAUCUGGUAUACAAUCAGGGUUCUCCAGAGAAACAGAACAAUGGGAGCUACACAGAUACACAAGAGGAGAGCUGUGGUGAGAACUGGCUGACACGUCUGUGGGGGGGAGGCAAGUCCCAUUGGCACGCCGUCUGCAAGCCGGCCAGCCAGGGAAGCCGAGGUGGUACCUUAGUCUGUGUCCAAAGGCUGAAGGCCAGAGAACCAGGAACUGCUCUGAUGCCCAAGAGCAGGAGAAGAUGGACGUCCCAUCUCAAGAAGAGAGAAUUCACCCUACUUCUGCAAUUUUGUUCUCUCUGGGUGAGCCCUCACGUUCACCCACACUGAGUGAGAGCAGAUUCUUCUUACGUGGUCUAUGAUUUAAAUGCUAAUCUCCUCCAGAAAGACCCUCACAGACACACCCAGAACUAAUAUUCUACCAGCUACCUGGGUGUCUCUUAACCCUGUCCAGUUGAUGCAUAAAACUAACUAUUCCUCUUGGUCAGGGAAACUUGGUUCAUACCCACUGCAUGGGAUCCAGCAAGAUCCACCCAAGCCUGAACCUGGACGUGACAAAUGCACUGUACGUGUCAGAUUCCCUCAGAAACCACUCAGGGAACCCAUGCUACCCUUUGAAGUAUGCUCAAAACAGCGGGCAGUGUUCUGAGGGGAUCCAUCAGCAUUUCAUGGCAAACAUCUUCAGGAUGCUGGCGUUAAACCCGCAGCAUAAGUUAGGGCUACAAACAUUGCAGAGGAAGGAGAAACCUGAGAAGGAGGUGGUUUUCUGUGAGUUCCAAGUGUGUCGCUGUGACCUGGGAAGUUUAGGCUCUUCAUGUAGAAGUAUGACCCCUUCCUGAGUGGUAAAAGCUGCUUUAAGAAAGUCCAAAACGCCAUGGAAUACUUUUCUGUCUGAAGAGCCAGAGAAGUACUCUUCUGGUAAGUAUUAAGUCCAAGCAUCAUGACCAGGCAAGGUUUGAAGAUGGUUCUGCUUCCUAACCGCUGUCAUGGGUCAUGUCCAACAAAAACGUCCUACAUCAGGAGGCAGAAGAUACAAAGUCCCGGAUUUGCUUGACGAUCACCCAAAAGCCCAGAGUCUGCAACCUCUCCAUGGCUCUGUGUCCUCCCUGCAGGUAGUAGUGUCUGCUCUGCCUGCCUUCCUGGAUGGGCCUGAGAACAUGACGAGAGAAACACUGAGGUGUCACUCAGUGGGAGGACACUGCCCUAGCUAUACAAGUGGCCCUGAGUUCAACCCCUGCACUACAAAACAUUUAAAAGUGACAAAAGAAUAAAUAUGAAAGUUCCCUAAAAGUUUCAAAGACCACACUGAAGGUAUUACUUUUAUUAUUGAUUUUUUUUUUAGUACCAGGAAUCGAACUCAGGACCUUGUGCUUGCCAGGCAAGCACUGUGCUAUUAUUGUUAUUAAUACUACAGACAAUUGUAGAGCUGAGCU